AUUCAGUGACAUUGUAAGUCGCUCUGGAUAAGAGCGUCUGCUAAAUGAAGUAAA
rfam:Salmo salar isolate Sally breed double haploid chromosome ssa20, whole genome shotgun sequence.